CUCUCCAUCUCUCUUUCUCUUUCUUUCCCUUUGCUUCCCCUUCUCCCUUUUCUCCCCCCUCCCUUGCUCUUCCUUCCCUGUCGUUCAACUUCUACCACAUUGCACAAAUACAAAGCUCUCAUUGUCAACUACGUUAAUUUUGAAAAUUAAAAUAGGCCAAAGAAGGAGACAUAUCACACAUGUCUCCCCGGACAACUACAACAUCGAGUCGAAAAGGAAAAGGCUGUUUCAGAUAGACGAAAAGGAGCAAGUAUUUGGUUGGUUCUGCUACAAAGGGUCGUGUAACUAUUUCCUUCAAAUUAAAACCUGCCUUCCUAGAAGGGAGUUCCGACGGCUCAGGACAAGAAUCUAAAACUGUUCUAGAAGCUCAGAAAGCUAAAGAUUGCAAGACUCCUCCCAAAAUUUGUAAAAGCAGUAAACAACUGAUGGCCCAGAGGAGCUGCCUGCAGGUCGGGUCAGAGAGCUCCAGGUGCAGUUGAAGCAGUUCUCACCCAUGCUGCGGUGGGAUACUGGUGACAGGGCUGCUUUGGGUCACCAUGCUCCUUCCUGUGGAAGAGCGCGGGUCAGAACAGAUAUGGUAACUCACGCAUGAUAAAACUCACCCAAACACUAGGAGAACUGGG